UACGUAGGUGGCAAGCGUUGUCCGGAAUUAUUGGGCGUAAAGCGCGCGCAGGCGGUCUCUUAAGUCUGAUGUGAAAGCCCCCGGCUCAACCGGGGAGGGUCAUUGGAAACUGGGAGACUUGAGUGCAGAAGAGGAGAGUGGAAUUCCACGUGUAGCGGUGAAAUGCGUAGAUAUGUGGAGGAACACCAGUGGCGAAGGCGACUCUCUGGUCUGUAACUGACGCUGAGGCGCGAAAGCGUGGGGAGCAAACAGGAUUAGAAACCCCCGUAGUCC
rnacentral:rRNA from 1 species